GCAGCUUGUCCUUAGGGUGGAAGAACAAGGGCUUUUAUUAACACAUUCCAUUGGCUGAGUUUAUGAUGCUCUGCCUCACUCCCUUUGCCCUGAAGUGAAGUCGAAUUAUAAAAUAGGACCAGCCUUAUCUUGGGCAGCCAUGCAACAAUGGUAUCUGGAGAUCUGAGAAUCAUGCUGGAUCCAGAUCUAGCUGCCAGUGAUGGCUGCUGACAGCUCUUGAGUUUCAUUCACUUUUAAGACAUUACUGGAUUGCCUGCAUCAAAUAGAUUGGAUGAUGCCGUGGCAACAUUUUGUUAAGUACCAGAAUCCUGGAGAAAUCACUCGAAGCACGUUAUCAGAAGAACAGAUGGCCGGUGUCCCUCCUGGUCUGAAGGUAUUUCUGGCUGUCAUGUGAUUAUUCUAUAAAUAAACCCCACUGAGAGGCAAUGGAAGGUAAGCAAUCAGUUGCACUCUCUGACUUCACAAAAGAAGGUACUGGAAAAAAAUUAAAGGCUGGCUACUUUAAAGAUAAUUCUAUCACAGAACCCGAGGGCUAAAACGGGUCUUGGAAAAACCAUCAAGAUCAUCUCGUUCUAGAAGAAAGGUGAAGCCUCAUUGGAUUAAUUCCAACUUGACUUUUGAAGACCUUCAGAGGACAACUCUAAAAUUCCAUCAUGACAUAUGUGACCCUGUUCAAAAACCCUGAUUGUGUGGACCCUGCCCACUCAAGAUUCCACUCACUCAGCUUCUUCCUUCCACAGCCCACUCACCCUGGGGAUGUGUUUCAGGCCAGGUAGCCCACCCUCAAGUCUCUUUCAGGCCUCAGGUGGGAACUUGUGAAAGGAGGUUCUGUUAAUCAGGAUCUGAGUAUCUGCCAGGCAAUUGCAUUCAAUAUGAUUUUUUUCUUUCUUCUCACAAGUGUGCAAUGAAACAAGUUUCAUUAUUUUUAUUUUAUGGGAUAAGGUUUUGAAGUCCAAGAUAUUAACUAUUAACCAACAUGACAAAGGUGGUAAUUAGAAAUAAGAAGGGUUCUCUGCCUCCCUGCCACCCCACUAGAGCUGUAUCAACAAUCUUAUCCUUCUUUUUAAUUCUGUAUGCUUAAUAACCCUGUAGAAGGCUCUUCCCAGAACCAAAAGGGCCACUAUUGACUCUCUAAAUUAUAACAUAAAACUUACCCAUGUCUGGGUAAGAGAUAGCUAUAUAAUGAGAAUUUCUAUGUCCCAUUCAUUCAUUCAUUCAUUCACUCAUUUUUAAAAAUUCUUCAACACAAUAAUGGGAGUGAAGAAUCUCUUCCAUACCUGCUCAAACUUAUCAUUCUUUAAAUGUCUCUGUCUCUAUAAGUAUUAUUAGUCUCCCCCUUCCCAUUUAGUUACUUAAGCUUCUGAAUCAUAGUUUCCAGGGCUGUAAAAUAGAGAAAUUACCUACCAUAGUGGGUGGUCAUGACUAUGACAAAGUGCUGUCUGUGAAGGGCUUGAAUCUUUAGCCAGUAUGAGUACCCUUUUCUCUGUGUGCAGAAUAAAGUAGGGUGAUGGCUCUUCUCACAUUCACCACAAUCCCUCUUUCACUAUGGGAGGAACAUGUGGCUUUUUUCCAAAUUUCUAGGGCUGGAGUUGUAAGAAUUUCUUACAGCUUAAGCUCUGUUGGUCUCAUUCAUGGAUGGAUGUUCAGAACCAGAAUGGGAGUGGGGCCAGUCUCAAGCAGGUGCUUAAUGGAUUUUUGUUGAAAACACAUAUUGAUAAAUGGAAUCUGAAAGCAAAAUAACUUUUUCAGAAAAUUCUCUGCUCAUUAGUUUUUAUAAAAUAGACUUUUCUUCACACAUUAAAAAUAGCUAUUUUCCAGUGACACUUUUAUAUGAUUUUUAUCCUAUCAUGGUAAUACUCUCGGCCAUUUCUAAAGAAAACUGAAGUUUUCAAGCUGCCUAAAAUUUUUUUUUAUUACACAAUUCCCUUUGUUCUUGCAUUCAAGGAAUAACCAAGAUCUCUAACUUAAAGAAUUUUAAUGAAAUAGUUGCCUUUUAUUUUUCUAUUUAAUUUUAGAAAUUGAUUUUUUAAAGAAAUUGACAUUUAAGACAACUUUAGUUUUAUGGGACAAAAUGCUCUAUGUAAAUAAAAGUACACUAGAGGCCUUCAAAAGACUUUUGUGUUAAUGUGUUUUUAUAAUUUGUAUUUGACUUAUGUGGAAAGAAUGUUCAUCAGUAGAGAAUUUUAAGCAAUUCUGCUGGAAUUUUAUUGGCAGAGAUAGCCUGUUUGCAUUCUUCUGAUUGCCAAUUUUGUUUUUGCAUCAACAAAUUUCUUCCUGAAAUAUUAACUAUAUUUCAGUUGUUCACUUUGUGAAAUUUCUUUGGCCUUGCCAUUCACAUUUCCUAUGGAGACUUGGACUCUGGGAGAAGAAGAGUGUUGAUUCCACCUGAAGGAAAGAUGUCACAGGCUCGAGGGAUGAAACCUUGGGUAGAUGGCAGUGGUCCUGGCACUUCCAUGGGGCCACUGGGGAGGUUGGCCCUGACACUUGUUGGUUUCCCCACUGGUAAAUUGUUUACGUUGGACAAGUAAUUCCUCAUUUUUUCUUUAACAUUAUUAUAAAUGCCUCUCUUUUCUCUUAUUCAAAAUAACAUAUGUUCAUGGUAGAAAAAUAAGCAACUUCAGGAGGAAUGAGCGCUUCUGAAAUUAUCAUCUUUCUAUUUAUAUAUAUUUAUGCAUAUGCAAAAGUGUGUAUGUAUAUGCCCCCACACACACAUACACACACUCACACACAUUCCCUUAAGAAAGCAAGUGUGAUUGGUUAUAAAUGCCUUA